rnacentral:tRNA from 1 species
GCCAGCAUGGCAUAGUGGCUUGAGUGCUGGACUAUGACUCUGGAGACCAGGGUUCUAAUUCCUGCUCAGCCA